AAAGUCCGGGCAACUGGGCGAGUAAAGUGGCGCACGGGUGAGUAACGCGUGGGUAACCUGCCCUGGAAUUGGGGAUAACUUUCCGAAAGGGGAGUUAAUACCGAAUAACAUUCCGAUCUCUUUGGGGGUUGGAAUCAAAGGUGGCCUCUGCAAGCAAGCUACUGUUUCAGGAUGGGCCCGCGUACCAUUAGCUAGUUGGCGGGGUAAUGGCCCACCAAGGCAACGAUGGUUAGCUGGUCUGAGAGGAUGGCCAGCCACACGGGAACUGAGACACGGUCCCGACUCCUACGGGGGGCAGCAGUGAGGAAUAUUGGGCAAUGGGCGGAAGCCUGACCCAGCAACGCCGCGUGGAGGAAGACGGCCUUCGGGUUGUAAACUCCUUUUACGGGGGAAGAGGAAGGACGGUACCCCGAGAAUAAGUCACGGCUAACUACGUGCCAGCAGCCGCGGUAAUACGUAGGUGACAAGCGUUAUCCGGAAUUACUGGGCGUAAAGCGCACGCAGGCGGCGCAUUAAGUCUGACGUGAAAUCUCCCGGCUUAACUGGGAGGGGUCGUUGGAAACUGAUGUGCUUGAGGCGGUGAGAGGGGUGUAGAAUUCCCGGUGUAGUGGUGGAAUGCGUAGAUAUCGGGAGGAAUACCAGUGGCGAAAGCGGCACCCUGGCACUAGCCUGACGCUCAUGUGCGAAGGCGUGGGGAGCGAACGGGAUUAGAUACCCCGGUAGUCCACGCGGUAAACGAUGAAUACUAGGUGUAGGGGGAGUGAAAUC
rnacentral:rRNA from 1 species